ACUAUAAAUUUCUAGAUAUUUUCUUAGAACUAACUUUCAGGUAAAGGUCUGUUCUCAUGAGGUUUCUCUCCUGUGUGUAGUCUCUGAUGUCAGAGAUGACCUAACAGUAAAGACUUUGAACAUUUACAUUUGAAAGAUCACCCUCCUGUAUGUAUUCUUUGAUGAGUUCUAAGAUGAUCUUUCUUGGUGAAGGGUUUGUCUUAUUUGCUUCAUUUUUAGAUAUUCUCUAGUUUGUGCAUUCUUUGAUGAGUGUAAAAACUACAUUUAAGUCUAAAGAAUUCAUCACAUUCAUUACAUUUAUAAGGUUUCUCUCCUGUAUGAAUUACCUGAUGAAUACUAAGACUGUGUUUGUGGGUAAAGCGUUUGUCACAUUCACUAAACUUUUAAGGCUUCUCUCCUGUAUGAAUUCUCUGAUGAUUUCUAAGACUGCAUUUGUUACUAAAGCAUUUGUCACAUUCCCUACAUUUAUUAGGAUUCUCUCCUGUAUGAAUUCUCUGAUGAAUUAUAAGAUCAUAUUUGUGAGUGAAGCAUUUGUCACAUUCACUACAUUGAUAAGGGUUUUCCCCUGUAUGAAUUCUCUGAUGAACAUUAAGAUUAUAUUUUUGGGUAAAGCAUUUCUCACAUUCACUACAUUUGUAAGGUUUUUCUCCUGUAUAAACUCUGAUGAAUAGUUUUGGGUAAAGCUUUUUGUCACAUUCACUACAUUUGUAAGGCUUCUUUCCUGUAUGAAUUAUCUGAUGACUUCUAGGACUGUGUUUGUCAGUACAGCAUUUGUCACACUCACUACAUUUAUAAGGUUUCUCUCCAGUAUGAAUUCUCUGAUGAAUACUAAGACUGUAUUUGUGCAAAAAGCAUUUGUCACAUUCACUAUAUAUGUAAGGUUUCUCUCCUGUAUGGAUUCUCUGAUGUCUAAGCUUGCAUUUCUUGGUGAAACAUCUGGCACGUUCACUACAUCUGUAAGGUUUCUUUCCACUAUUGGUUUGUUUCAGCCUGAGUAUUUGCUUAGAGUUAAAAACCUUAUCAAGCACUAUACCAUUGUGUUCUUUCUUUCCUAUGUGGAUUCCUUGAUGUAGACCAGUGAUAGAACACAAAUUUAAACAGUUUAUACAGUUUUUAUGUUUGCAAGGUCCUCUGGUGUUUCCAUUUUCAUGUCUGUUUAUGUUUGAUGACUCAACACGUGUAUUCCUGAAGUUAGCUUGGUAAAAUACACUUUGGGUGUAUUCAUAAAUGAUUUUGCCAUGCUUUGACCUUUGUAAGACUUCUCCUGG
rnacentral:lncRNA from 1 species